rnacentral:lncRNA from 1 species
GCUCUUCUCCUUCUCUUCUUGAAUCUCGAUGACAGGCGAGCGACGCUCCACCUCCUGACCUCCACACGCAGCUAACGGCAACAGCAGCCCAGCAAGCAGGGCGGGCAGAGGCCGGGGCAUCCGCCGUCUUCAACCGCACUUUUUUCUAUCAGCCAGCAAUAUUUUUCUCUUAGAAUAAAUCAGCCAAUAGUAAUUUCAGCCAUGACUUUUUAGAGCAGCGAACGGACAUCCGAAGGUGAGGGAUUUUCCCCAAUAACAAUUUGCUCAUUUCGAUUUAGCAAUGACCAAAUCGACUAUGAGCUAGUGAUCUUUAGUUGAUAGUGUGUAUAUUUUCUUUCUGUAGAUUAUUUGCAGUUUGCAUUUUGCAAAAUAAAAGAAAAAAACAGUUGAUUUGAAACGUGUUGUACUGUUUUUAUGAUAAAAUACUAUUACGAACUAUACUUGAAACCUAUGCUACUAUGCAUUGAUUUUUUUUUUUGUUGUGGGAAUAUCCAAGUUU